rnacentral:lncRNA from 1 species
CCUUCUUUCUGAUAAGGGGAUGGUUCAGAAUGUGCAGGUGAUCCAUCAUCAUCUAUUUUCUUCCUAAAAUUAAAUGAAAAUCUUGAAACUUUCUCCAGCCAUAUAUUGUUUGAUUAACUAUCAUACUGUGUUAUUUUCCAACCUACAAGGACAUGAAUGAGUACAUCUUACAUCUGAUGCAAAUCGUUUUGCCUAACAAAGUCAAAAAGUAUAGUAGAUAAUUACUUUGAAGGAGAGCUUAAGAGCCCAAUAAUUCAAUCAAUCGAUAGGAAAUAACAUUGCCUUCCUCCAUAUAUAAAGAAGCUACCUUGUGAGAAUAGAUGUCUGAAAGAAAGGAAAUAAUCACGUUCUCUUUGAAUGAGGCUAGCGUUUAGCCGAGACAAAGAGUAGAGAAGGAAUCAUGUUUUUUGAAUGAGGCUAGGUUCGUCGAUUUCUUUGAAUGAAUCGUGUUUCCUCAAUUUUCUCAGGUGAAUGAACGGACUAGGGUUCGUAAGUUUAGGAAGAAGAAUCAAUUUCUGAGUUUGCAACAAUAACCAACAGAACAUAGCGAAUUAGGGUUCUUUGUCGCGUUUCUGAAUUGCGUUUUGAGAAUCAAUUUUAAGAAGAAUAAGAACGGAUGAAUCGAUUUUGGGAAGAAAUCGCGUUUUUUGAAUCUUGAAUCGGAUGAAUGUUUCUGAAAUUUGGG